rnacentral:rRNA from 1 species
UACGGAGGGAGCUAGCGUUGUUCGGAAUUACUGGGCGUAAAGCGCACGUAGGCGGACUGGAAAGUCAGAGGUGAAAUCCCAGGGCUCAACCUUGGAACUGCCUUUGAAACUCCCGGUCUUGAGGUCGAGAGAGGUGAGUGGAAUUCCGAGUGGAGAGGUGAAAUUCGUAGAUAUUCGGAGGAACACCAGUGGCGAGGGCGGCUCACUGGCUCGAUACUGACGCUGAGGUGCGAAAGCGUGGGGAGCAAACAGG